UCAUAAGCAGAAAGGACGAUAAACCUCUACUUAUAAUGUUAAGGAAAUAUCUAAGCAUGCAAAGAAAGAAAAACUCUACAAUUGAUAGAAUCCACACGGUUAUAUGAUUCCAAGAUAAAAAUCCAGAGUGUCUGGAGGCCAAUGCUAUGAAAUUUGACAGAAUAAGGGGUUAAAUAUUAUCCGAUGAAAAAAACCGAGUAUAAGAAGUGAAAAAUACAAACUAGAAAAGCACAGAAGAAAUUUAAAAAAAAAAAGUUCUUCAAGAGGUACAGAAAGAACAGAAGAAUCGGCUCGUCAAGAGCUAUGAAGAGUAGUCCUGUUGAUACAGCGCGGGACUUUGCAGCCCCGUCUAUACCUACGGAAGAUGUCUAGCUCAACGUAAAUACAACGAAAAUUCAAUACAAACGUGCGGAAAUUGACUUUCAAAAUUUUACCUCCAGAAAUGAUCUUUCAAUCAUUAGGCGGACCAGUGAUGUAUUGUGACCAGUAUGUGUUAGAUGUUCUUGUGAUUAGUAAAAAAUGUUAUUAUACAAUUCCUCGUAUAUUGUAUUAAUAAAACAUUUUUAUAUAAGUAAUUUAUUUACAGAAUAAUUUUUU